GAACAAAGAAACAAAUUAAGCAAAAAUGUUUGUUUUACCAUGUGAUCACGUUGUAUACAACUUUUUUCUCCAUGUACCAAAGAGCGAGGCUACAUGAUGCACAGAGUUCCAUGGUCAGAAGGUAUGAGAUUCUAUGAGGUGGUAUAUCCAUUUAAUUUUGUAAACUUAAUGCUUGUUUCCAGGCUGUUAUACUUCAUUAUAACAUAUAAAAGAACAAUCAAAUUUUUUUCUCCAAGUAUCAAAGAUUGAGACCUGAUGAGGCAUUGAUUGUUAAAAAAUGGAACCCAUUGUUGCAUAGAGUAUGAAAAGUAUGAGAAAUUUGUCUGUUCGCAAGUUUUAUGUGGCAUGCUUAAUGCUGUUUGAAUAAUUAACAAAUAUACAAUGUCUUGCAUAAUUUGUAUGUCUCUUAAUUUAAAGUGAAAUUUCUGUCUCAUAUUGACAGUCAAAGACCAGAUGUGGCACCAUCUCCUGCAACCUCUUACUUGUCUUUCAAAAGCAAUCAUUCAAUGGAUCGACCGAUUGUGUUCAGAGACAGAACUCAGAAUAACAAUGUUAAAUGUCUGCGAUUCGAAGAGGCUCUAUCUCCAGCACCGUCACUCCUGUCUGUAAAGAGUAAUCAGUCAAUGGAUCGCCCGAUUGUGUUAAAAAAUGAAAAAUUAAAACCAUGUGAAGUAGCAUCUCCAACACCUUCCUUCACAUCUCUGAAAAGUGAUCAGUCGGUGGAUCAACUGAUUUUGUUAAGAGAGAGAAUGCAGUAUUACAGGUAUGAAACUAAAUGAUGUAUGCAUACAUUGUGCUUGAUGUGUAUUCAAUAAACAAU
rnacentral:lncRNA from 1 species